rnacentral:rRNA from 1 species
UACGUAGGGGGCAAGCGUUGUCCGGAAUCAUUGGGCGUAAAGAGCGUGUAGGCGGCCCGGUAAGUCCGCUGUGAAAGUCGAGGGCUCAACCCUCGAAUGCCGGCGGAUACUGUCGGGCUAGAGUCCGGAAGAGGCGAGUGGAAUUCCUGGUGUAGCGGUGAAAUGCGUAGAUAUCUGGAGGAACACCGGUGGCGAAGGCGGCGUUCUGGACUGCAACUGACACUGAGAAACGAAAGCCAGGGGAGCAAACGGG